rnacentral:snoRNA from 1 species
UUUCCACAUAACUUUUCUAAAAGCUGGCAAUGUUAUACGCAUGGGAUAAAAUAACAUUAGACCAUUGUCAAUUGAGAUGGAGUAACCAUUUCAUCUCUUCUGCAUGCAUGGUCUAGACAGAU